AGCAGGAGGAGCUGAGCAGAUAGAUAUAUAGUUUUAUAGGAAAAGAUUCAGUAAAACCUGUAAUUUAUACAUUUAAAUUCCUGUUCGUUCUGAGCUAUGAAGUCAAGGAGGCCACAGAGAAAGCUU